rnacentral:rRNA from 1 species
CCUACGGGAGGCAGCAGUGGGGGAUAUUGCACAAUGGGGGGAACCCUGAUGCAGCGACGCCGCGUGGGUGAAGAAGCGCCUCGGCGCGUAAAGCCCUGUCAGCCGGGAAGAAAAUGCCGGUACCUGAGGAAGAAGCCCCGGCUAACUACGUGCCAGCAGCCGCGGGAAUACGUAGGGGGCAAGCGUUAUCCGGAUUUACUGGGUGUAAAGGGGGCGCAGACGGCGAUGCAAGCCAGGAGUUAAAGCCCGGGGCCCAACCCCCGGACUGCUGUUGGAACUGCGUGGCUGGAGUGCAGGAGGGGCAGGCGGAAUGCCUGGUGUAGCGGUGAAAUGCGUAGAUAUCAGGAGGAACACCGGUGGCGAAGGCGGCCUGCUGGACUGCAACUGACGUUGAGGCCCGAAAGCGUGGGGAGCAAACAGGAUUAGAUACCCGGGUAGUC